AUGGGAUCAGGUCCUUGCUCACAACAUAACAAUGCAGUGAGAGAUGGCCAUGCUUUAUUGGAUCAGUCAAACCAUUUGGCAAAUAUCUUUGAUGUGAAGACCAUGGGGGAUAAAGAAAAGGAUCGUUUAAGGCUGAGAACUACGAUUGCGGUUGUAAAGUGGCUCACAUUUCAGUCUUGUGCUUUAAGAGGCCAUGAUGAGAGGCCGGAGUCAAGAAACAGAGGUAACUUUCUUGAGAUGUUGAAGCUUCUUGCAGAAUUCUGCCCUGAUGUUCAAGCUGUAGUUCUUGGCAAUGCUCCACAAGUUUGCAAAUACACAUCACACGAAAUUCAAAAUGAGAUCUUGAGCAUUUACGCUAUGAAAGUCAGGGAGCAUAUUCGAGCAGAAAUUGGGGACUCAAAGUACUCUAUUCUUGUGGAUGAAACAUGUGAUGUGUCCAAAAGAGAGCAAAUGGCACUAGUUUUCAGAUUUGUUGAUAAGAUGGUUAUUCCCAAGAAAGAUUCUUUCAUCUCAUACAUGUAG
rnacentral:rRNA from 1 species